GUCAAUAUUCCUCUCAUGGCAGCUAGGGUAGAACAAUUACUUAUUCCUUACAGUUAUGCCUGAAUUAUUCCACAAAAGAGCUUUAUGUGGGGUAAAAUUGUACAGGAAACAUUAAAGAUUGUUGGUGAAACCUACACUGAAAAAACGGGACAGAUUUAUGUGAUUUACUCAAACAUGUUUUGUUUCUCCUCACAACACAAUUUCAUUGUUUGCGAUCAAUGCAACACGAAGCAAAAUCUGAUCUACUAGUUUGAAUCAUGUAGUUGGAGUGUGAACCAAUAAAGCUAAUUCAUGACGAGUAAUGAGGAAGAAGUCAAACCGCGUGAGAGAAGAAUCUUCCAGAAAGAUCCUUGGCGCGUUAGCGGAGAAGACAAUAUCUAGAAUCGUGGUCAAGGUCCAUGAUGUUUGCCUGCUACAUUUGUGCUGCUUUUGUCUACACAUUCAAAGGAUGUAUAGUGUUGGAGAAACAGAAGAGAGCCUCGAGGACAUGCGGAAAGCUCUACUGUCUGAUGUGAAGAAAAGGAACAACAGAGAGACGGUGAAGUUCAAAAUGGAGAAGACGUUUGCAUACAGGAGACAUUAAGUUGUCCGUGACGCACCCUUGGUAGAGGACUUCAUGGCAAGAUGGCCUGCGCUCUUUGAAGUCAUUGAGGGAAGUUAGCCAUGCUUGUUUUAUUGUUGAUCUAUUGGUCAUGUUAUCUGAGAUUGGUUGGUGAAGGUAGAAGAUUGUUUUCCCUCAGCUUGCCUAAUUGGUAUGAAGUGUUUCCUUUUUCCUUUUUCUUUCUCUUCCUCUCCUGUUCCGUGCCACCUUCAUAUUCUAUCACUAGCUAUUCUAUUACUGUAUCUAUCAUCUCAUCUGUCUUCCAUCUUAUUUCAUUAGCUACGGUUAGAUGCACUUUCUUUUUAUUCAUAAUUGUAUUACUCAGAUUAAAGACUCCAUGUCUCCAGUGAUCAAAUUGGCUAUGUCUCAAAUGUAAUCUGAAUAGAAAUCUUGGUUAGAACCACUUUUCAUUUUAGCCUUGUAAUAGGCGGUGUUCAAAUAUUAUAAACAGUUCAAUUUAGUUGACACUUAAAAGGACUCCAGUCUUGAUUUAUUUUUGUCUGUAUCAUGCUCUUGUGCUUCAUGAGCUAUACUUUCUGCAGUCUAGAGUCCCUAACUGUAAACACUUCAUUGACGAAUGAUUCAUUUUAUAUGAUUGACAAGUUUUGCCUUUGUGUCUUCUUCAGGGCAUGGAUGAAGAGUCCACCAAGGCAGCUGUUGAGGACACUACUGUGGGGAUCUACAUUAUCAAAGACCAUUUCGCGAGUGAGGAUCCAGGGGACACUGGGAUUGUCCUUGAAGGCGUCAAGGUGCUGCAGGAUCUGGGCAACGUAGCAUUUGCUGUUGCAAUGCUGUUCGGCCUCAUGUAUGCCAUGAACCUCAGUUACCCUAACUGAGCCCCGCUACACUUUUGAUGUCUUUCAGAAGGUUUUUAUGGAACUGAAUGGGGACAAACUUUCUAACAAAGCUGUUGCAUUUAAAAACAGGCUGUUUCAGUGAGCUGUUUUGUUGUAUGUUGUGUUUCACACUGUAUGUUUGACUUAUGUUUAACUUGUUAGAUUGUUCACAAAAACUCAAAACAGAAUGAGCAUGUCCAAAGAUGGAGCUAUCGUGAUUUCCUUAAUUUUCUUUGCUGCUUAUGGAAAAAGUUCAGUUUCACUUUGUAGUGACUUUUAGUCAAUAUAAUUAACAUGCACAAAUAUGUCCACAUACCUACCUCAUUCUUUGUCUGUUACUCCUUAUGAAAAAUAACUACCUCAUUUUGUAACAAAAUGCAUUAGAGGGCCCAAUCAUUGUUAGGACAACUCUUCUUUUUUUAUAUAUACAGAUACUGUAUAAAGGCUACAGCCCCUUGAUUUAGACCUGUGCAAUUCAUUGAACACUGAAUGUCAGUGAAUGGACAUUUGUCAUUCCAAAGAGCUGAACCGUUACAAAAAAUACAAUAUCAUUUUUGAAACGCA